CCCAAUUUCAUUUUCAUUUUUAUCCGACUUUUGCAAAUAUUUUGGAUGUCCAGAUACAAGCAUUUCAUAACAUAAUACCUGUCAAAACUACGAGCUAUAAACAUACAAGUUCAACAAGAAAUUUUUAUACUUCCACAUUCAACAAUGAGGGAAGUCUUAGAAACCUUCCCCAUUAGUUGAACUCCUUCUGCCGAAUGGAAGGCUUUUCACUGCUCUUUCGGUGACAUAAAGCAUAUUCAAUACUGACAAUAAAAGCUUUUGCUUGUCCCCAAAAUCAUCUAAACCAUCUACCUCUUCUUCUCCACACAAAUCCUUCCCAUUCAAAAUCACCAUGGGAAACCUCACCUUUUCUUUAACCACCAGCUCUUCUAGCUCUUUCAAAUAUAUAGGCUCCUUUGAACAGUUUCUCUCCUCAAAUACAACUUUUCCACUCAACAGAACCUUCUUUGCCCACCCAUUUGCGUCUAGGUCAUUGUUAGCACUCGUUGUGUAAAGAAUUACCUUGACGUUGGAUGAAGAGCUGCCUCGAAAAACUGAUCUUUCAGGCUCUGGGAGCCGGCAUUCUGGGAACUUGGCAGCCAGUGUUUCCCUAAACAAUUUCGUAGUAUUCUGGAUGAAAGUGCUUUGUUGCCUACUGAAAAAUCAAACACAUUAUCAUCCAACAAUCCAUAAAUCAAAUAAUAUGUCUUGACACAUGUUAACAAGUAUAGCAUUCCUCAACUAAUUAUAGAGAAAAACUAACUGGGAAAAGCAUGAAAUGUUGAAUAAUUGAGAAAAAUCGGAAAAUUUACCCCUCUGCAUGCUCUCCAAGAAUAUUGCCAACUUCUACAAGGGCUUCUCUCCACUUCUCCACCUUAUCAUUGUGCCUUGC
rnacentral:lncRNA from 1 species